rnacentral:lncRNA from 1 species
UAAGACACUAUUCUGUUUUAUGGUCUCUGUUCAUAUGGAAUACAACGAAACUGCUACUGAAUUACCGUAAAUGUUGCUGUACUGACCGCAUCGAUACAUAACCCGUAAUUAUAGGAAAACACUCGCUUCAUCUAAUCAAUUCUAUGGAAGAUAUUCAGUUCCGUGUGUACAUAUCAAGUAAUCGUGAAGGAUUCGACUCAACACACUUAUUGGAGGAUAUUCAGUGCGAUUUAAUGAAAAUCCUAUACAUGUACAAUUCAAAGACAUCAUUCUUGUAAUAAAGUUAUCAUGUUUGACAUUUUUGAAUAUACUGUACUGUCAGUUUUGGUAUUUUUUUUCAGAUGUGUUUACAAUUAAUUCAUGUGAAAUGAAGAUUAUAUUUGAAUAUUUAAAGAUGAAUUUAACAUUUUGAAGCUUUGGGGUCCAAAGCUGGUAGGUUUGUGGGGAG